AAAAGAAAACAUUAUGCUGAGCCCAGGCUGGAGUACGGUGUCACGAUCUCAGCUCACUGCAACCUCCACCUCCUGGGUUCAAGUGAUUCGACAGUCUUGCUCUGUAACACCCAGGCUAGAGUGCAGUGGCACGAUCUCGGCUCACUGCAACCUCUGCCUCCCGGGUUGAAAGGAUUCUCCUUUCCCCUGCCAUGCCCAGAUUCCAGUCUUCCUCAGCCUAGGAGGGGACAUGCUUCCUCUCCAGCACACCAGGCUCUUUCCCCAAGAGUUAUUCUAGAAAGCAAGCUCUUUUUGGCUUUUGGAUUUUUUUUUUUUUUUUUUUUUUUUUUUUGAGACAAGGUCUCACUCUGUCACCCAGGCUGGAGUGCAGUGGCACAAUCAUGGCUCACUGCGGACUUGACCUCCUGCACCUCAGCCUCCCGAGUAGCUGCGACUGUAGGCGUACAUCACCAUGCCUGGCUAUUUUUGUGUUUUUUGUAGAGUUGGGGUUUCUCCAUGAUGCACAGGCUGGUCUUGAACUUCUGGGCUCAAGCGAUCCUCCCACUUUGGCCUCCCAAAGUGUUGGGAUUACAGGCGUGAGCCACCACACCCAGCAUCAAAUGGAAUUGUAAUGCCCCAGGAGCUGAGGGACACUUGACCCCUGCAGCAGUGCUGUGCCAGGCACUGGGCUAAGGAUUUCACAUGCAUUAUCUCAUUUUAGCCUCAUAACAGCAGCCCCAUUUUCAGAUGAGAAGACUGUGGCUCACAGAGCUCAGCCGCCUGCCCCGGCUCACGCAGCUGGGAUGUGGCUCCAAACCCAGGCUUCCUAAGUCCAAAGCCUGGGCUUCAACACAGCUCCAGCAGUUAGGAAAACCGUCCGGAGCAGCUGCAACAACAACGGGUUGGUCAAAAUGC
rnacentral:lncRNA from 1 species